GAAGGUGGGACUGGCGAUUGGGACGAAGUCGUAACAAGGUAGCCGUACCGGAAGGUGCGGCUGGAUCACCUCCUUU
rnacentral:ncRNA from 2 species